CUUUCUGCAGGGGUCUAUGCCUUUGGUUUCCUCUUCAUGCUGCCCCAGCUCUUUGUGAACUACAAGUUGAAGUCAGUGGCACAUCUGCCCUGGAAGGCCUUCACCUACAAGGCUUUCAACACCUUCAUUGAUGACGUCUUUGCCUUCAUCAUCACCAUGCCCACGUCUCACCGGCUGGCCUGCUUCCGGGACGACGUGGUGUUUCUGGUCUACCUGUACCAGCGGUGGCUUUAUCCUGUGGAUAAACGCAGAGUGAACGAGUUUGGGGAGUCCUACGAGGAGAAGGCCACGCGGGCGCCCCACACGGACUGAAGGCCGCCCGGGCUGCCGCCAGCCAAGUGCAACUUGAAUUGUCAAUGAGUAUUUUUGGAAGCAUUUGGAG
rnacentral:sRNA from 1 species